UGUUCUCUAUCGCUUAAUUCUAAUCUAGAAGCGGGGAAACCAUUUUCCGGGGUGAAUCCUUCACAUAAUUGUCGAUAAUUUAGUGAGGGUAGGGUUACUCUUCAACCCGAAUCCGUCAGCUAACUUCGUAAGCGUUGCAAGAGAGGAACG
rnacentral:sRNA from 2 species